ensembl:lncRNA
AUCCCGAGUUCAUGGGUUGGUAGGCAGUACUGUCAAGAUGUCAAUAAUACCCAAAAUGAUCAACAGAUUCAACACAAUUCUUAGCAAAAUCCCAACAGCAUUUCUUGAAGAAAUACAUAAAUCCAUCCUAAGAUUCAUAUGCAAUCUGAAGACCCUCAGAGUACAAACAAGUUUGAAAAUAACAAAGUUGGAGGUCACACAAUUAUUUCAAAAUUAUCACAAAGCUAAACUAAUCAAAGUGGCACAGUACUGGCAUGAAGACAGACCCGUGGAACAGAAUAAAGAUGUCAGAAAUAAACUUGUGUAUAUGGUCAAAUGAUGUUCCACAGGGUGUCAGUACCACUCAGUGGGGGAAGGGCAGUCCACUGAACUAUGCUGAGAGGAGACCAAGAUGGUGGAGCAGAAGGAUGUGGAGCUCCUCCUCUCCCACAGAUACACCAAAAAUACAUCUCCAUGUGGAACAAGUCUCACAGAACACUUACUGAAAGCUGGCAGAAGAUCUCAUACAACAAAAACGGCAAGAAAGCUCCCCACUUAACUGGUUAGGACAAAAGGGGGAAGAAAGGAGUCGGGAUGGGACCUGCACCCCUGGGAAGGAGCUAGGAAGGAAGAAAGGUUCCCACACCCCGGGGAACUCCUCGACUGGCUGAGAGGUCCGCCAGGACAGGGAGGGGAGCUUUCGACACCAGAGAGGAGAGUGCAGGAGCUGGCUUGUGGCCAGUAGGGUAGGGAGAGAGCAGCACAGCCAGUCCUUGCCAUGCUGCUGCACUUCCCAGCCCGAGAUAUGUGCCUCCUGGUGUGCACAGCAACUGGGUGCUGAAACUCAGGCCUCGGCGACAUACUCGGGGAGAGAACUCGGUUUUGCUGUGCAGAGACGGCCCAAAGGUCCUGGAGCGUGGUCUGGGCCACAGCUGGGGCUGUGUGCAGGACAGAGUGCAGGUCUGCAAUAGGAGCCCACUAUCAAUGCACAAAGAGAGGGGCGUGGGCCUGCCAUAGCAGCCUCGUUGUCAGGGUGCUCAGGGGGGCACAGCUCUGGCCGUCGCAGGCUUUGGGAGUGUGCAUGGGUGGCAGGUUUGGGGAGCGCACACAUGUCACUGGAAGGGCGUCUGACCCGAUUAUUGGCACUCUGGCAGCAGGGCUGAGUUGGGGAAUGGCACCAGCAGCAGUGGACUUUGUGGGCUCACACACGUGGAGUUGGGCUGAAUCUGAGCCUAUUACCAAGUGCUCCUGCAGUGGAGGUGGGUCUGGGGGCAGCACCAGCAACUGUGGACUCUGUUGGCGCACACACACCGGGUAGCAGGCGGUGUCACAGAGUCACACGUCCCAGUGGAGGGCUACUGGGGAGGAACACGUCAUAGCUCCUUUCCCAGCAGGGUGAUCAAAUCCUGCCUACCUCAUGUCACAGCUUAGAAUUGGACCUGGGGGCUUCUACCCCCACCAGUACUUCAACUACAGGGCUGUUACAACCACCGAGCAAAGAAGAGGCCCUGCCAAACAUCCACUGCAGGCUCUGGUCACCGCAACAAACAUACCACCUAUCAAGAGGACAAUGGGGGCUUCCCUCGUGGCGCGGUGGUUGAGAGUCCGCCUGCCGACGCAGGGGACACGGGUUUGUGCCCUGGUUCAGGAGGAUCCCACAUGCCGCGAAGCAGCUGGGCCCAUGAGCGAUGGCUGCUGAGCCUGUGCGUCCAGAGCCUGUGCUCUGCAACGGGAGAGGCCACAACAGUGAGAGGCCCGCGUACCACAAAAAAAUAAAGAGGACAAUGGCCAGCACACCCUGACGAAAGAGGUGGCAAGCGCCCAUACCAAAAGAGCCCCUGCACCAAAAAUUUUGGACUCACACACACAGCCUAUUCAGGGAUGCUCCCGCAUAAAAGCAGCCCUUCAACAGUAGAUAACUGUUGCUCCUAAAUUCAUAGAGAAAUAUAAAUAAAAUGAAAAAGCAGAGGAAUACUUCCAAGUAAAAGAACAAGAUAAAUCUCCUGAAACAACAAAAAAAUUAAACAGACCUCUUCAGUCUAUAAGCCCCAAGUUCACAAAGGAGGUAAUAAAAAUGCUGAAGGUAUUAAGAAAGACUCUCAAAUAGAAAUGCAGAUCACUGUAGCAAGGAACUAGAAAACAUAAAGAGGAGCCAAACAAAACUAGAAAACUCAAUCGCCGAGAUAAAAACCGAACUAAAGGUAAUGAAUAAGUGAUCUGGAAGACAGUGUAACAGAAAUCACACAAUGAGAAGAGCUGAGAGAUCUACACCAAGACAUAUUAAAAUGGCAAAAGUUAAAGAGAGGAUUCUAAAGGCAGCAAGAGAAAAACAAAGUCAGUUACAAGGGAACCCCCAUAAGGCUAUCAGCUGACUUCUCUACAGAAACUCUUGCAGACCAGAAGAUAGUGGCAAGAUAUAUUCAAAGUCCUGAAAAGGAUAAACCUGCAACCUAGAAUAUUCUACCCAGCAAGAUGAUCAUUUAGAAUAGAAGAGGUAAAGAAUUUUUCAGACAAGCAAAAACUAAAAAAAUACAGCAAUCCUAAACCCACCCUAACAGAAAUAUUGAAAAGAUCUCUAAAUAGAAAAGAAGAAUCUAUAGGAAAGGGAAAAAUCACAAUACAAAAGGUAAAUAUAUAAAAGGAUUGAAAAUCACAUAAAUGAGCCAAUUCAUGGAUUAAAAAACAAUCAAAAAAAUUUUAUGAAAGCAAUUAUAACUACAACAAACAGCAAAAGGAUAAACAUGAAGAUGUAACAUAGGACACCAAAAUCACAAAAUGUGAGGGUUAACAUCCUUGAAAACCUGGGUAACCACAAAUCAAAAAUAUACAAAAGAGUCACAAAAACCAAAAAGAAAGGAACUCAAGCAUAAUGC